UAUGUCUAUUACAUGAAAUCCAAAUAAAAAUAAAAUAAAAUUACAGGUUGUAAAUGCAACAAAAUAGAAAAAACCCAGGGGGAUGAAUACUCUUGCGAGGCACAGUAUGUGAUCUUCCUGACUGGGUCUGGAUGGGGUUAUCCUUCUCUAGGUGUUAUUUAACACAUUUAAGGCAGGUCUGCUGGGGCAGCUGGAGGAGAUGAGGGAUGAGCAUCUGGCCAAGGUCCUCACGCUGCUCCAGACUGUCAGCGGAGGAUAGAGCUCCAGAAUGUGAUGGCGAGAAGGUAACAGAUCAUGGCUUAAUUUGCUCUAGUAAAGUACCUAAAUGAAGUCCGUUGUCCUAGAGUAUUGGGGAAGUACUGUAUUAUCUCUUUGGAGUGUUGUCACAUCAUAAUGGAACAAUUCCAGAACACUUCAUAGGAAUAUAAAGACAUCAGUGAAAACAAACCAACUUCUCCACCAGCUGCUUCCUCCAGCAGGUUCAAUAGUAAUGUGAUCACGUGUACCUUUCAGUUUGUGAUAUAUUAUACCUUUGUGUACACUCUCAUGGUCUUGUAUGUGUGGUAUGCAAGGGCAAUGUUAGCAGUGUGUGUGAGGCAUGUGCUUGUUCAUGUAUGGUUAAUAUUGUUAAUAUUGACCCCAUUCCCCCUCGCUCACACAAAUUCUUUCCCACCCCUCCCCCCUCUCUGCUCUUCCUAAAUUAAACAAUGCUGAUGGUGUCCUUAGAGCCAGGUGGCGACAUGUGUCAAGUAGCAGCUGCUCGGGCCCACACUAAAAGUACCCCCGCCUGCCCCGUGGCCUCUAGCCUCUUUUGUUCCAGGCGCCUGCAGUUCUAAGUGAGCACAUAGAUGGGAUAUGUGGUGGGUGACAGAGGAUUAUAGCCUGUCGUCUAACAGAGGGCUUUAGUUUCUAAAUAAACACAGAGACACUCACGUUUGAGAGGCAAUGAGCACAGAGUCACGUUUGAAAUGCAAUCAUACUCAUACCACAGCGACCACCCAUUCACCCUGCUACCCCCGUCACCCUGCCCUGGCCAUGGCCCUGCAUUCACUCACGCACACAUUCACAACUGACAGGAAGUGCCUGACCAUGUUGCAAAAGGUCAUUUUUGUCUGUCAUGGACCUGCAGAAUGACAAGCAGCAACUUCAAUAGAAGCUGACCAAGUGAGAACAAUCUACUUGAUUGAAGACUGAUCAGUUCUCUGGUCAAUGAUCAAUUAAAAAAUAUUAAUGUAAUCUACUCUUCCUUCGAUUCAGGAAAGACUUUGAAAUUAACCAGAUCACCACCAAGAUUGAAGAUGAACAAGCCUUGACCAUUCAGCUCCAGAAAAAGAUCAAGGAAUAACAGGUUCGUAUCGAGGAGCUGUAGUCUGACCGGGCGUCCUUUGCCAAGGUGGAGAAGCAGCUGGGUGAUGCCAAGAUGGAGGCGAACGAUCUGGCAUCCAACGUGGAACAGCUCUCCAAGAGCAAGGCUGAUGCUGAGAAGAUGUGUCGUCUGUAUGAGAACCAGAUAAGCGAGACCAUGGACAAGGUGGAUGAGCACCAGAAGUAGAAUAAUGACACCAACUCCCAGAGAGCCCGCACUCAGGCCGACUGUGCCGAGUUUGGCAGAAAGCUGGAGGAACGGGAAGCCGUGGUCACUCAGCUGCAGCGCACCAAGCAUUCCUUCAGUCCAACAUUCCAUGUCAGCAGCCCUAUUCUGUAGUGGAGUGCUUAUUCAGAAUUGGGAAUGACAUGGAAAUUAAUGGGAUUGGGAAUAAUAGUAUUCCUGGUUCCAGCAUCAGUCUGGUAGCAAAAUGAAUGUGUAUAACCAUCUCAAUAUACAUACACCACCUAGUUGUUGUGCUUAAAAGUACGACUGACCUUACCUCCUUCCACCAUCUUGGCGCUAUCUCCACUAUCAUUGUCUUCAGACAUAGAGCGCCCUGGGCCAUGCUUUCCAGUCCUACUGCCAUGACUGUGACCUGCUGAGGGAACAGUAUGACGAGGAGCAGGAGGCCAAGGCUGACCUGCAGCGAACCCUGUCCAAGGCCAACGCUGAGGUGGCUCAGUGGCCGUUACAGUCAAUACUACUCACCAAUGUGCUAUCAUUGGACAAUAAACUAGACGAGGUACGAUCACGAAUAUCCUACCAACGGGACAUCAAAAACUGAAAUAUCCUAUGUUUCAUGGAAUCGUGGAUGGAUGACGACAUGGAUAUUUAGCUAGUGGGAUAUAUGCUGCACCAGCAAGAUAGAACAGCACAUUCCAAUGUUUACUACAUUGGUUGUAAAUUAUGAAACAUGCCCUUCUUUUACCACUAUAUAAACCCGUUGAAGAAAAUUCAACUUUCUGUUCCAAGGACAUGAGGACUUGCGGUCCCCACGUUGAAAGGACAAAGAUCACCUACAGAACUAAGCCAACUUCAGGGUGAGCUCUGGUUGAACGACAAGAACCUAACAAAAUUAGCAUCGAAUUUCAACGUGAAGAUGCCGAUCAACACGUCGAAAGGAUGAAUUUCAACUAUACCAGCCAGAACAUAGCAUGGGCUUGAAGUAUGGCAACUUGGUAUGAACUUUGAACUCUUAUUCACUAAAGAAGUGAUACUUCCUAGCCGUUGCAUUAGGAACAGCAGCUGUAAACGUGGGCUAGGAGAGGACGGACAGAGUAUCCAUUCUACUACGUUCCAGUUCACAACUAGACAUUCUUCAGAGGACAAGAGAUCCAUGCUGGACAACCCGGCCUUCUAUCUACGACCAAUCUACCGAAGCGCAGCUCAGAGUAAAUAUUUAUUGCAUUUUCCUUUUUCAAACGGGCGGUUAUUUAGAAUGCAUAAGAUACUGUAUUUACGAUAGCAUAGCCUCCUACGGCCCGAUAGAGAUACAAAAUAAUUUUGUUCCUCAGUCUUCCCGCUCUUUCAUUCAAAACCCAACCCCCUUUCUUUGUGUAACCAGCCGUCAUAUCUGU